GACGAACGCUGGCGGCGCGCCUAACACAUGCAAGUCGAACGGAGUCACGAGGAGCUUGCUUUUCUUGACUUAGUGGCGCACGGGUGAGUAACGCGUGAGUAACCUGCCCUGGAGUGGGGGACAACAGUUGGAAACGACUGCUAAUACCGCAUAAGCCCACGGAUCCGCAUGGAUCUGCGGGAAAAGGAUUUAUUCGCUUCAGGAUGGACUCGCGUCCAAUUAGCUAGUUGGUGAGGUAACGGCCCACCAAGGCGACGAUUGGUAGCCGGACUGAGAGGUUGAACCGCGACAUUGGGACUGAGACACGGCCCAGACUCCUACGGGAGGCAGCAGUGGGGGAUAUUGCACAAUGGGGGAAACCCUGAUGCAGCGACGCCGCGUGGAGGAAGAAGGUUUUCGGAUUGUAAACUCCUGUCGUUAGGGACGAUAAUGACGGUACCUAACAAGAAAGCACCGGCUAACUACGUG
rnacentral:rRNA from 1 species